rnacentral:lncRNA from 1 species
UGAAACUGACAUCAAAAUAUCAGCUUGCUAAGAGCUCAAGACAAUGAUGAUCACUGAACAGGUAUUUUGCUUUUCAUCACCCUGGCUAUGUUUUUAUUUCCUAUUUAUUAUUCAUUUGAAAUGGGAUUUUCACUUGUGUAUUCAACACAGGGCCUGUAGGAUUUCUAAGUUCAAGUUACUAACAGCUAAACGACGAUUCUUUCUUCACAAAUGCAAAUUUUCUAAGGUCAGUAACCCCAAUGGCCAAGUAUGCAGGUGGUGGAAUUGAUGAUCAAACACAGGGUGUUCUAAAUAAGAUCAAGAUCUGCAUUUAUUCAGCACAGCUCAAAUCAAAGACAUCAUCAAAGAAACACUUUCAAGGAAAACAUCUACCUGUUGAUCAUAUGCCCCGAGCUAUCGGUCAUUGGUGCUGCAAACUUUGGAUGCAGGUGCUCUGUUGAAUGGGUUUUGAGUAGAACGAUUGAAGAGCAAAAACAAAGGGUUCC